UGGGAACGUACCUUUUGGUUCGGAACAACCCAGGGAAACUUGGGCUAAUACCGGAUAAGUCCGUAAGGAGAAAGAUUUAUCGCCAAAAGAUCGGCCCGCGUCUGAUUAGCUAGUUGGUGAGGUAACGGCUCACCAAGGCGACGAUCAGUAGCUGGUCUGAGAGGAUGAUCAGCCACAUUGGGACUGAGACACGGCCCAAACUCCUACGGGAGGCAG
rnacentral:rRNA from 1 species